rnacentral:snoRNA from 1 species
AUGAUGUUUCCAACUUAUUUAUAUUCACAAUGAUAUUUGAAUACAACAUGAUAGUAAUUCAUAAUCUGACAUA